rnacentral:rRNA from 1 species
AUUGAACGCUGGCGGCAUGCUUUACACAUGCAAGUCGAACGGUAACAGGCCUUCGGGUGCUGACGAGUGGCGAACGGGUGAGUAAUGCAUCGGAACGUGCCCAGAGGUGGGGGAUAACGCAGCGAAAGCUGUGCUAAUACCGCAUGUGAUCUUAGGAUGAAAGCGGGGGACCAGGCAGCAAUGUUUGGCCUCGCGCCUUUGGAGCGGCCGAUGUCAGAUUAGGUAGUUGGUGGGGUAAAGGCCUACCAAGCCGACGAUCUGUAGCUGGUCUGAGAGGACGACCAGCCACACUGGGACUGAGACACGGCCCAGACUCCUACGGGAGGCAGCAGUGGGGAAUUUUGGACAAUGGGCGCAAGCCUGAUCCAGCAAUGCCGCGUGCGGGAAGAAGGCCUUCGGGUUGUAAACCGCUUUUGUACGGAACGAAAAGGCUCUGGCUAAUACCUGGGGCUGAUGACGGUACCGUAAGAAUAAGCACCGGCUAACUACGUG